UUGCAUUUGUUGGUUGUUCUGCCAGCGGGUUAGAUACUGAACGCUGAGAGCUAAUUACCCUCCUUGUGCCACUAAGACAACUUUCUAUGAGCACUUCACUUGCUUCUUCUAUUGUGUGGAAUCAAAUCAUAUGAACUUUCAUUUAAUUGGUUUAUUCAUUUUAAAAAGCCAUCUAAUAGAAAUAGGAAAAGGAAAAAAAAUAGGAGAAAAUAACACCAGUUUCUAAAGACUUUAAAGUGAAGCAUGUGGAUUAUUUUUAAAAAGAAAACCUCAAAUUAAGGAUUUAAUUGAAAAAGUCAUUUAUUUUCCUUUAUUCGUAUCUACAGUAUGCAAAAGGCAAGAGAGCCUCUCCGAGUUGGGGGAAAAGUUGUCCUUUGAAAUGACUUCAGUGAUAUGAUUUCAUCUGUAUUUCAAACGCAUUAAUUUCACACCAUCCACAAUAGGUAAUGAAGAUGCAUAGAUUUGGGUUAAAUUCACCCUCCGGAAAACCUGCAAAUUAAGAUGCUGUUGAUGGAUACGCCGCCGACUGUCUUAAUCAUCGUGAUCAAAAUCCAAAUAGUAGGGAAAGGGUUCCCGGAGGGAUGCGUUUGGGCUUUUGACAAACGCUCGACCAAACUCAGAAGCCUAGUCUGCACCUUAGCAAAUCCUUUUUCCAGGCAAGAGGCCCGAUCAGCCCGCGCGGGGCUCGCGUGUUUCAAGAGUGGUUCGACACCUCCCUCAUCCCCCAAACCAGACACACCCCGAUCCCGCGAACCGGUCUGGGCUGUCAAAACACGCGGCAGCGUGCUCACUCCCAAUAACUCGCAUGAUGAUUAAUGAGCGGCCUGAUAAUUUAAUAUCGCGUGAGAUUAAAUUAUAAGGCGUGGGGGAGGGGAGCUCUGCGGGCCGACGGCGCCGAGCCAGCGGGUCUGGGCUGCCGGCGAAGCCGCGCGCCUUCACACAGCGCCGGGCGAGGCUCCGCCAGCCGCGGGUCCGCGCCUUCCCAAGAACACUGAUUCCACCUCCAGAUCGCCUCAUGGGCAUGUCAUGGCUGUGCAGUUUCAGCAGUCUCAUCUGAAGGGGGGAAGAAGAGAGGAGGGCCCCGCAAAGAGCCAGGGCAGGAAAUUUGGACACGUGGAGAGACACGAGACAUGCACUCGCACAGAAGAGGGGCCAUGUGAGGACACAGCAAGAAAGUGGUCACCUGCAAACCAAGGAGAGAGGCCUCCAAAAGAACUAAGCCUGCUGACGCCUUGAUCUUGGACUUCCAGCCUCCAAAAGUGUGAGAAAAUACCUUUCUGGUGUUUAAGCCCCCUAGCCUGUGGUAUUUUGUUUUGGCGGCCUGAGCUGACCAAUACACUGGUCCAGUAGCUAGAGGGUUAAAAAAAAAUUGGGUAAGCUCUUCAUCAUUUCAGAUGCGUUCCUCCUAUUUUGUCACCAGCUUCAUAUUUUAAUGUCCCACAAAUCCUUAGAGCUUGGCUCUCUGAAAACCAUUUUAAGAAAAAGAAAUACCCAGAGGGUGUGUUUUUUUUUUUUUUUUUAAAGAUUUUAUUUUUCUC